rnacentral:misc_RNA from 1 species
GAUGAAGAACGUAGCGAAAUGCGAUAAGUAAUGUGAAUUGCAGAAUUCAGUGAAUCAUCGAAUCUUUGAACGCACAUUGCGCCCCCUGGUAUUCCGGGGGGCAUGCCUGUCCGAGCGUCAUUGCAACCCUCAAGCUCAGCUUGGUGUUGGGCCCCGCCGCCCCGGCGGGCCCUAAAGUCAGUGGCGGUGCCGUCCGGCUCCGAGCGUAGUAAUUCUUCUCGCUCUGGAGGUCCGGUCGUGUGCUCGCCAGCAACCCCCAAUUUUUUUCAGGUUGACCUCGGAUCAGGUAGGGAUACCCGCUGAACUUAAGCAUAUCAAUAAGCGGAGGA